AGAGCGGUACAGGUUUUUAGCGUUUCUCCGUCUUGGGUUCGGCCGAAGGUGAACGGUGUCAGGCUGGGCCACGCUUC
rnacentral:sRNA from 1 species